rnacentral:rRNA from 1 species
CCUACGGGAGGCAGCAGUGGGGAAUCUUGCGCAAUGGGCGAAAGCCUGACGCAGCAACGCCGCGUGCGGGAUGACGGCCUUCGGGUUGUAAACCGCUUUCAGCAGGGACGAAAUUGACGGUACCUGCAGAAGAAGCCCCGGCCAACUACGUGCCAGCAGCCGCGGUAACACGUAGGGGGCGAGCGUUGUCCGGAUUUAUUGGGCGUAAAGAGCUCGUAGGCGGCUCGGUAAGUCGGGUGUGAAACCUCCAGGCUCAACCUGGAGACGCCACCUGAUACUGCUGUGGCUAGAGUCCGGUAGGGGAGCGUGGAACUCCUGGUGUAGCGGUGAAAUGCGCAGAUAUCAGGAAGAACACCAGCGGCGAAGGCGGCGCUCUGGGCCGGAACUGACGCUGAGGAGCGAAAGCGUGGGUAGCAAACAGGAUUAGAUACCCUUGUAGUC